UCCUAGGACCCGCACUAUUAAGGAUUGCCUAAUCCCGUCAGGACUGGAAGGUAGCAGCGGUAAGUGAUUUCUUGGUGAGUGCGUACGUCUUAGGUUUA
rnacentral:SRP_RNA from 1 species